UGGGGAAUAUUGGACAAUGGGCGCAAGCCUGAUCCAGCCAUGCCGCGUGAGUGACGAAGGCCUUAGGGUUGUAAAGCUCUUUUGGCGGGGAAGAUAAUGACGGUACCCGCAGAAUAAGCUCCGGCUAACUUCGUGCCAGCAGCCGCGGUAAUACGAAGGGAGCUAGCGUUGUUCGGAAUCACUGGGCGUAAAGCGCACGUAGGUGGGCAGUUAAGUCAGGGGUGAAAUCCCGGAGCUCAACUCCGGAACUGCCUCUGAUACUGCACGUCUUGAGUUCGAGAGAGGUGGGUGGAAUUCCUAGUGUAGAGGUGAAAUUCGUAGAUAUUAGGAAGAACACCGGUGGCGAAGGCGGCCCACUGGCUCGAUACUGACGCUGAGGUGCGAAAGCGUGGGGAGCAAACAGGAUUAGAUACCCUCGUAGUCCCUGAGCGGGCUGGCAAGGCGCAU
rnacentral:rRNA from 1 species